CCGCGGCAAGACGGAAAGACCCCGUGAACCUUUACUAUAGCUUGACACUGAACAUUGAGCCUUGAUGUGUAGGAUAGGUGGGAGGCUUUGAAGUGUGGACGCCAGUCUGCAUGGAGCCGACCUUGAAAUACCACCCUUUAAUGUUUGAUGUUCUAACGUGGACCCGUGAUCCGGGUUGCGGACAGUGUCUGGUGGGUAGUUUGACUGGGGCGGUCUCCUCCUAAAGAGUAACGGAGGAGCACGAAGGUUGGCUAAUCCUGGUCGGACAUCAGGAGGUUAGUGCAAUGGCAUAAGCCAGCUUGACUGCGAGCGUGACGGCGCGAGCAGGUGCGAAAGCAGGUCAUAGUGAUCCGGUGGUUCUGAAUGGAAGGGCCAUCGCUCAACGGAUAAAAGGUACUCCGGGGAUAACAGGCUGAUACCGCCCAAGAGUUCAUAUCGACGGCGGUGUUUGGCACCUCGAUGUCGGCUCAUCACAUCCUGGGGCUGAAGUAGGUCCCAAGGGUAUGGCUGUUCGCCAUUUAAAGUGGUACGCGAGCUGGGUUUAGAACGUCGUGAGACAGUUCGGUCCCUAUCUGCCGUGGGCGCUGGAGAACUGAGGGGGGCUGCUCCUAGUACGAGAGGACCGGAGUGGACGCAUCACUGGUGUUCGGGUUGUCAUGCCAAUGGCACUGCCCGGUAGCUAAAUGCGGAAGAGAUAAGUGCUGAAAGCAUCUAAGCACGAAACUUGCCCCGA
rnacentral:rRNA from 1 species